UGCGUAGGCGGCCGUGCAAGUCUGGCGUGAAAGCCCCGGGCUCAGCCCGGGAAGUGCGCUCGAAACUGCGCGGCUCGAGUGCCGGAGGGGAGAGUGGAAUUCCUGGUGUAGCGGUGAAAUGCGUAGAUAUCAGGAGGAAUACCGGUGGCGAAAGCGACUCUCUGGACGGCAACUGACGCUGAGGCACGAAAGCGUGGGGAGCAAACA
rnacentral:rRNA from 1 species